CAAUGGCGGCUGCCAUGAUUUCACUGUUAAAAUGUCUUUCACUGAAACCAAUUGGAUCACUUGGAAAAUGAUUGAUUUUCACUACACAAGAUGGACUGAUGGACUGGAGUGUUGUGGAUUACUUUUGGAUUAUUGUGAUGUUUUUAUCAGCUGUUUGGAGACUCUUUCUGAUGGCACACAUUCACUGCAGAGGAUCCACUGGUGCAUGUACAAUAUUGCUGCAGACGUGAGAGGUCACUGCAUGAAAAGGCUGAAGCAGG
rnacentral:lncRNA from 1 species